rnacentral:rRNA from 1 species
UACGUAGGGGGCAAGCGUUGUCCGGAAUCAUUGGGCGUAAAGAGCGCGUAGGCGGCCCUGUAAGUCCGCUGUGAAAGUCAAGGGCUCAACCCUUGGAUGCCGGUGGAUACUGCAGGGCUAGAGUCCGGAAGAGGCGAGUGGAAUUCCUGGUGUAGCGGUGAAAUGCGCAGAUAUCUGGAGGAACACCGGUGGCGAAGGCGGCAUCCUGGACCAACACUGACACUGAGGAGCGAAAGCCAGGGGAGCAAACGGG